GUUCACAACUCUUUUGAGUAUUCUAAUCUAUAGGACGCUAUAGGUGAGAGAGUUGUAGUAUAGGUGUAAGCGAGGUGCUUAGAUCUAGAUUACUUGUGGAUAUCCCCUGUCUAGCUGGAUCGUGUGGUAGGCCGCAUAGGUGACAGUUACGUUGGUCCUCUGUAGUCCACCUCUCGUUAGCAGGACGGGUAGGGUUUAUCGGCCUAAGGAUAAGCAUCCUUUGUGGUGUACUCUUAUCACGUGGUUCGUCCCAGACAUAGACAUACCCCUUUGAAGUAGAGAAACCAUAGUUAUCCUCUCUAUUCUGCUACCAUCGCCCAUAUACUAUAAUUGCUCUACUCUCUAUUCCCAUAUUAUCACUCACUGUUAUCUUACCUUUAAUAUUGUUCUUAUUCGAUUCUACCAUCUUUCCUAUUUACACUUAUUUACUUAUCUUGGUUAAGUUAGAGCGUAGAUCAGUUCUCCCGUUUCCGGGUAAAAGCUUCAACGGUAUCCGUGCGCUUGCGGAUUAUCUGUGUGCGUAUAAAUACCAUAGUACACUCUAGUGCCAUGCUGGGGAUGACAACCUAGUAUUCAAGUGGUGUUAGCAAGUGUCAACAAGCAUUUUUGGCGCCGUUGCCGGGGAAACGGUUGCUGAGUUGACUACGAACUAGCUUAAGCAUUUUCUAAAAAAAAUAAUAAAAAAAAAAUUCCUUUUAUCGUUUGCCUCAUCUCUGCUAAUCUUUCUUCUUAUCUAAUCCUUGAUCUCUGGUCUAUCAUGAAUUCAGACAUGUCUAUCUAUGAAUUUCAUAGACCUACGGGCACACAUCUCGAACCACCAAAAUCUUCAAAGCCUAUCAUAGCAUCUAGUUUUGAGAUAGACCCGGAAUACAUAGAAUUUGUUCAAAAACAAUCUUUCUCAGGAGAAGGUGAGGAAAACCCAUACACACACCUAAGAGAGUUUUAUCGAGUCUGUGACCUCCUUCGCAUAGAAGGCAUGUCUGAUGAGACCCUUAAAUGGAAGCUCUUUCCGUUCUCUUUAACGGGAAAAGCUAGACAUUGGUAUAAACUCAAAGUAGGGAGUGUUCAUGGAGAUUGGAAGGAGUUACAUAAUAGUUUUCUUUUAAAAUUUUUUCCAAUCUCUAAAGUGGCGGAACUUCGGCGUGAGAUUAUUUCUUUUAGACAACUGGAAGAAGAAUCUCUUGGUAAAUCAUGGGACCGCUUUAUUAACCUUACUCUCACUGGCCCAAAGCUUUCUAUUCCAGAAGAAGUUUUUCUAAUUCACUUUUUUGAGGGCCUUAGUAGGGAAGAUAAGCAAACCCUUCAUGCGGCCUCUGGAGGAUCUUUCCACCACCUAUCCGCUAGUGAAGCUUGGAAUUUGAUUGAUUUAAUGAGCGGAAAGUCUCCUAGCUUUUAUAUCCCUGAGAAAGAGACAGAACCAGUUCCUAGACAAGAAGAAGAAGUUUCGAUAGCCAGAUCACAACCACUUCAAUUCCAAACUUUAGCUAUCAAUCCUAAACCAUCAAUACCCCAAAAUUCUCCAAGGGAGGAAGGAAUUCCGACCUUAAAUCUUUCAGAUGCUGAUGGUUUAGACUUCUGGUUCCAUAAGAGACCUUCAAGCAGGGAUAAUUCAAAUCCUCGCAAUAAUGGUUCUCUUAGAGAAUGUCCUGGUUCCUGUUAUGAAGAAGUCGAGGAUGACAUAUCAAGUGAAGGAGAGCUAAGCCAUAUUGGAAAUUCUAACACCUCCCCUUUCCUGAUCACAAGUUCUAAAUGGCUAGAAUGUGUAGAAUGGAUGGAUAAGGAAGAAGCCUUAAUGGAUUCUAACUUUGGCUCAAUUUCAAAUGAUGAGUUCUUGACUCCCUUUGAAGAUGAGAUUCAUCCAACUACAGAAGAGGACAUAGGUGAGACCAAUCCAGGAGAAACUCCAAACAUUCAGAUUAGAGAUGAAGAUAACAUUAAUGAGCAUGGAAUUUAUUUCAUAGCCACUUCGUUUGCUCCAUGCUCAUAUGCAACAUCUUCCCAAUCUAUUGGUCUCUCCAACAUCACCACAUUUGAGAUCUCCAACCCCCUCUUCCUUUUUAUUUCUAAAAACUUUAAAAGGGCGGUUGUCGAUGCAUAUGUCUAUAAUAAAUAUUGCAGAUCUCGUUGAGUUGAUCUUGAUUUAGGUCAGCGUUGGAAGGGAAACCACUUCGCCGACAUAAAUUGAUGGUUUCCCAAGGACAAGCUUGGUGUCCUAAAAUAAGCACUGAUCAGAUCGUGACAUGAGUUUUUAAUUAUUUGCAACAUUACCUUGUGUGUUGAGCAUAUAAGGAUAAUUGUAAAAAUAUUCCUUCGGGUAUUCUUGUCACUAACCUUUCCAGGAUUGGAGCAAGAAGAUCGGAUGAAUGACAAGCAAGUACAAGGUAUGUCCAACCAAUCAUCAUGCAACACUGAAUUAAAUUCAUCCAAACUUGAAUUCUGCAGAAUUCAAGCUUGGGGGAGUACUUUACAUAAAAACAUCCUUUGCCAUGUUGCUAUGUUGGUUGUCCCUACAUUUAAGACAUGCUCAAUUUGUUAAAUACUAAUCACACUACUUCAUCUCCACUUGAGUAGAUCUCUAUAAAUGCUGUUAUGCUACCUUUGUCUAUUUACUAGUAAGUGUUAGUUUGGAUGUACUGCACAUACUUCUAUUGGCUUUUAAAUUAAGCAUGGUGCUUAGGUUAAAUAGCCUUCCUUAAUCUGAUCAGACAUGGAGUCUAGUUCGGUUAUUGAACUAAAAACUACUUGUGUAGACAUUGGUAUAUUUUUGUCGGACUAACCCCUGCAGAAAAACUUUCAAUAUCGAUUUGGGAAGUCCUGAGAUAAACUCACAUCAGAGACGAAGAGAGUGACACAUGAAGUUUAACAAUUUGCACAAGAAGGACAUAGCUCAUUCAUCAUAGAGAGAUGAUCCAUGGAGGGUGCCACAAACAUGAUGCACAACCGCUAAGAAAGGAAAGCUUCCACAAGGUGAUACUGUACCAUCACUCUUCAAGCAAGGUAACAUCUUAAGGUACUUAUCACUUUUAUAAGCUUCUCCUUGGUUAUGGCAUUCAUAUAAAUAAAAGAGACAAACAUGUAUGAUUUACAACUCUAGAUUAACCAACCCAACUGAUUCAACAUGUUUAGUCCUUUAAUCCUUGUUCUUAGUACUACCUCCAUGAUCCCACACUCCUAAUCAUAUGAGCUAAAAUGUUACACAUUCAAUCAUUGAGAGAUAUAAAGAAAAAGACAUAUACAUAGAUAGAUUAUCUUUCCAUAAGGUUGAGCGAUCUGAUCUGACAAAUGUUAUAAGUGCUACACUCAUGAACUUUUCAUCCAUCAACUUUGUCUUGCUCACUAUGUUUAGGGUUAGAGAAGAACAAAUACACUUUAGGUUCUGUUGGUGUUUUCCACCAACAGGACCCUGCACUUGAUCUCUGCCUUGUCUCUAUGAGCAGGUACACUUUGAGCAAAACACGGAGGAGUUUUAUAACUCUCAGACUCUACCAAGUGAAGGACCUGGAUCUACGAGCACAAACACACUGAGCAGGAUACUACCAACGCCGCACUUCGAACUGCUGGGCAAACAAAGAGGUGCAGACGUCAAGGUCCGUACCUGAAUCAAUUGACGCACCUGAAGAAUGAACACGGUGAGAAGUCUUGUUAAGAAGACUUAAAACAUUGAACCCUCGCCGGAAGGUAAGAUCGGUAGUUAUCCAUAUUUAUCCUUUCUGCAUUCCCUUUUCCCUUUAAUUAUUUACUUUCCUUAAAUAGAUUAUUAGUUAAUCAUGCUAUCUUGAAAAGAAAAUAAAAAUGUUAAAAAAUACUAAACCCCAUGUGAGUAUACGAGUGGCAUAAAACCCAUAAGUACCUUCACUGUGGUGGCAUAAAAAUAAAAUAAAUAUUUCUUUUCUGCUUUAUAAAAUAAAAAUAUAAAAACAGGGAGUAAUAUUUAUUGAGGAAGCUCAACAUGAUGAAGGCUAGAUAUUUAUGCUAACACUUAAUUAGUUCCACAAGCUUUGUUGUCUAUUUGAGCUCCACAGAAUUUAAGAAUCAAGAAGACUAGCAGACGGAGGACAUUCUAAUCGCUGUCAGAAUGCUGCUGACUUUCAAAUACACCUCUGCCACCUGCUAGCUACAUCAAGAGAAAUUACGUCAAAAUUCAGCUUGGGGGAGAGCACCCCCAUUUAUCUCGCUAAGUAUUUCUACCUAUCUUUAUACUUAUAUUAUAUUAGAAUAUUAAAAUACAUAAACUAUGAAAAACCAAAUAAAGAUUUUGUGCUUAUAUAUAUAUCUUUUGCUUAGUGUGUUUAAUAAAUAAAUAAAGUGGCUAUGCUAAUCUGAAUCUUAAUAAUAAAACUCUAGCAUGGAUAUGAUGAAUAGUUGCUCUGCCUAAUUUGCAAAUUUGAAGUUCUCUCUCAAGUUUAGACAUAACUGUUAUAAUUUAAAGCUUGCUCUAGAUCUAAACUUGUGGGAUGAAAACUUGAUCUGAAAUCUAAGUUGUUAACGAAUAUGAUAUGGGAAGGUUGAGCUGUUGUUUAUCUGUUCCUAGAGAUGCUAGAAUUCUGGAGAAUUUUAUCUUUGAAAAAUCUUUAAAAUAUUGCAUGAUGAGUUCGUGUAUGUUGAAAGUUUAAAUUCCUACCACAGCCAUAUAUACAUGCUUGCUAGACUUUGAGCCACACAUUUACUAUUUACUGCUUAUGAGCAUUGAGUGUGGUCAAGCUGUGUAGACCCUUAGGAGCUUGUCAUGUGGUUAAAUCAAGAUUUCACUUGCACAUUCACUCAUAUAUGCUACUUCUACUCCGGAAGUACCAUCCACAUAUAUACACCCAUGUCCAUCUCCAGAACCACCCAAAAAUAUUCUACUCCUAAUCCGGGAGAGAAUAGCCAAAAAUAUUUCUGUUUUCCCUUGUGAAAUAAAUGCUCAAGUUAUCUUGCUACUACCUCUUGCUAUAUCAUCUCAAGAGAUGAGUGCUCUGAAAAGAAAAAAAAUAAAAGAGAAGAAAAGAAAAAAAUAAUAAACGAGGAAAUAAAAAGGGGCAAGUGUCCGGAACCUCGAAAGAAAAAAAAGAGUGAGACGAGAGGUAAAAAUGGACAAGUGUCCGACAGUAGAAUUAGGGGUACAAGAUACCCACCUGAGAGGAAAGAAAAAAAUGAAAGAUAGAGCAUCUCAUUCUCCUCAUAAAGUUUCAAAAAGCAAGGAAGGUAUGUAUCCCCUCAAAAGAGCAAAAGUAGAAUUAGACUUUCACCAUGUUAUCACCAUCAUCACCAUACACCAUUCAUUCGCCACACAUGCACAUCUUGAUUUGGCUUAUUGAUUUGUUUCUUUGGAUCCAUAGUUUGACUAUACAAUAAAUGUCUUGUAAGUAUGUAUACUUUAUCUCCCACCUAUGAGCUCCAGAUAUUAAAGUUAUUAGAGUAGGGUGAGAGAGAAGGCAAUGUCACUAUGCCUUAUACCACAAAUACCACAUAUCUUGAGAGAAGGCAUAUACCAUCACUGCCUUGGUAAGGAUCCAGAAAUACCACAAAAGAGAGAUUUAGAGAGUCAUACAAGGAAUCUCUGAGUUUUAUUUGAAAAAUCUGCAAAAACUCCAGAGCUAUAGCUGAUCAAGAAUAAGAGACAUGGCACUUGGCUAGACUGUUCUAUCUUUUAACUACUCAAGACAGAAGUGACGGUUACAAGUCCCAUGGUGAAAGGUAAAGUAAGUAAGUUUUAGUUCUUGACAGUUUACUCUAACUCAGAGAUGAGAUCUUAUUUAAAAGCAUGUGUACCGUCAAAUUUUUAAGAUAUUGCAACAACUUCUGAUCCAUUGCUGAGUCUAUCCUUGCUCAGAGACGAGCAAGAGGUAAGCUUGGGGGAGUUUGUUGACGAUCCUUAAGUAUCAAAUUUAAUUAUCAAAUAAACAAAGAAAAGGAUUGAAAUGAAAUCAACAUCUAGACUUAGGGUUUUAUCUGACAGAAUUCCACGAGUUUUGGUGUUUGUCUAUUUCUGCAGGGGGUUAUCAGGAAAUACGGAAGAAAGGUCCACACGUCGGGAUUACAUAGUGAUAUCAAUGUGCCGCGCAAUUAUUUUACAUCUAGAAGACUCCAGAAGCCACGGGAAGGAAGCGGAGGCCGAACGGAACCAGGACCUGGGCGCCCGCCCAAGUCCUUAGGGCGCCCGCCCUGCUACAGUGGCCAAUCACAUUCAACCUCGUGGAUUAUGCUCCACCGACCUAAAGGAUCAAGAAUAACCGUUCAAUCAAUGUCGGUUUGAUCCGACGGCCCGGGUUCACUUGAGGGGACUAUAUAACCAGACCCCCUGGCCCCUGGAGGAGGCACCCCUUGAUCAUUAUUCAUUAUUCAUAGACAGAGCAAAAGCUAGGGUUUAGAGAUGAGAGCUCUCCUCUCUUCUCUAAACUAGAGUAGAUCUAGAUUGUAGCAAGAUGGAGAGCGAAGGAGGAUUAGAGGAGAGGCCGGCCUGUCGGUUCUUCCUCCGGUUGUACUUCGUCAUGAUCAAGCUCUAAUCAAGCUUACUCAUGGGAUGACUCUGGUAAUCUAUUUCUAAUUCAUUAUGCAAUUACUAAUUAUGUAUGUUCUGGUUCACAACUCUUUUAAGUGUUCUAAUCUAUAGGACGCUAUAGGUGAGAGUUGUAGUAUAGGUGCAAGCGAGGUGCUUAGAUCUAGAUUACUUGUGGAUAUCCCCUGUCUAGCUGGAUCGUGUGGUAGGCCGCGUAGGUGACAGUUACGUUGGUCCUCUGUAGUCCACCUCUCGUUAGCAGGACGGGUAGGGUUUAUUGGCCUAAGGAUAAGCAUCCUUUGUGGUGUACUCUUAUCACGUGGUUCGUCCCAGACAUAGACAUACCCCUUUGAAGUAGAGAAACCAUAGUUAUCCUCUCUAUUCUGCUACCAUCGCCCAUAUACUAUAAUUGCUCUACUCUCUAUUCCCAUAUUAUCACUCACUGUUAUCUUACCUUUAAUAUUGUUCUUAUUCGAUUCUACCAUCUUUCCUAUUUACACUUAUUUACUUAUCUUGGUUAAGUUAGAGCGUAGAUCAGUUCUCCCGUUUCCCUGUGGAUACGAUAAAACCUUUAAUCGGGUAAAAGCUUCAACGGUAUCCGUGCGCUUGCGGAUUAUCUGUGUGCGUAUAAAUACCAUAGUACACUCUAGUGCCAUGCUGGGGAUGACAACCUAGUAUUCAAGUGGUGUUAGCAAGUGUCAACACUAGCGGUACACAUGUAUGUUGAAUCAUCCUUUUCUUAUAAAUGUAUAUAAUCUUAUAUUAUUUUUGUUUUUGUAUUUCCCCAUUUUUUUGCCUUUUUUUAGGGUGUAAGGAAUAGAGCAACGCCUGCUAGACUAUUUAAAUUGUACAAGGAAAUGUCAGAGGCCCAACGGAAGCUUGUUAGUGAUGCUAGCUUGGAGGUUUGCUUGAGAUAGGAAGUGGUCGAUUGCCAUCUGCCCUAAGUAAAUGGCUUGUGAAGAAUGUGGAUGGUGAAUCAGAAGAGCUUGUAAUUCUUGGAAGAGGGAAGAUUAAAGUAAAUGCAGCUUCUGUGAACAGGAUACUAGGGUUACCUAUGGGUGAAGAUGAGGUUAAAUACAAAUUCAAUGGAAGUGCAAUUAGUUUCAUCAAUAAAAAGUGCAGCUUUGACAAUGGAAGGUCUCCUGCAAUUACAACAAUAAUAGAAAGGCUGUGCGCAAAUAAGGAAGCUAAUGAUGACUACCUCCAGUGUUGGCUCAUUGUUGCUAUCUCAACUUUUCUAUGUGGGAGCACAGUUUUGUGCAUCAGCCCAAAGUGCUAUCCUUCUUUGGUUGAUCUAUCAAAAGUUAAGCAAUUGAAUUGGUAUAAAUUUGUAGUAGAUACUCUCAAAGGAUCCAUGAGAAAGAUGCAUAAAAAGGAUUCUGUUUGAGGUUGUCUAUAUUUCCUCUCUGUGAGUGUCUUUUCUUUUUCCUUUUAAUCUCCUAUUCAUGUACUACAUUUUCCUUUUUUACAUGUUUUUUAUGCUACCUUACUUAUAUGCCUUUUUAGAUACUUUUCCUAGACUCUUUGGAGGUAGGAAACAUACAAGUCCUUGAAAAAUAGCCAAGAGUUGCAGCAUGGAACAUCAAACUUAUCAACAAGGUCAUAAAGAUGGAUACUAGCACAAAUGGCACAUUCAGGAAACUCAAGGUAUGACUUUUUGUAUUUUUCUGUGUCAUUUUUUAUAUGUACUAUGCAUUUGUGAAUUUACUCAAAUCUUUUUCUCCUUUUUCCUUUUUUUGUGUGACAGCUCAAGAAACUAGCUGGUUCAGUCACUGAGACCUCUUUAUUUGGGGAUUUCCAAGACAGAUAAUUUUAUUUCGUACAGGGCAUCUGAACCCAUGACUUCAAAUGUAUGCAAAUAAUAGAAUCAAGUAAAACUGUAAUUUCCUACUCCACAAUAGUCUUUUUUGUAUAUUAGGCAACCAAAUUGUAUCAUUUACGCAACAUUACGCCAAAUAAUAGUUGUAUGCAUUUUUUUAGAAACAUUAGUCUCUCUCUCAUAUGGAUCAACCUAUCCCUUUUUUCUCUCUGUCACCACUCCUGUGAGUUUUUGUAGGAAGGUGAUAAGAUGGCCUCUACUAUCCCAUUGAGCAAUGGAUCCAUCAGCACUCGCCCUAUAACCAAGCACCGGGCACAAUAGUUAGGCAACAGUUAGGAGAUGAGAUCAUGGUUUUUUGGGCUGUUAGUUUUUUUCAGUCAG
rnacentral:lncRNA from 1 species